GGGUUGUGAGGUUAAGCGACUAAGCGUACACGGUGGAUGCCCUGGCAGUCAGAGGCGAUGAAGGGCGUGCUAAUCUGCGAUAAGCGCCGGUAAGGUGAUAUGAACCGUUAUAACCGGCGAUACCCGAAUGGGGAAACCCAGUGUGAUUCGUCACACUAUCAUUAACUGAAUCCAUAGGUUAAUGAGGCGAACCGGGGGAACUGAAACAUCUAAGUACCCCGAGGAAAAGAAAUCAACCGAGAUUCCCCCAGUAGCGGCGAGCGAACGGGGAGGAGCCCAGAGCCUGAAUCAGCAUGUGUGUUAGUGGAAGCGUCUGGAAAGGCGCGCGAUACAGGGUGACAGCCCCGUACACAAAAGCGCAUGUGCUGUGAGCUCGAUGAGUAGGGCGGGACACGUGGUAUCCUGUCUGAAUAUGGGGGGACCAUCCUCCAAGGCUAAAUACUCCUGACUGACCGAUAGUGAACCAGUACCGUGAGGGAAAGGCGAAAAGAACCCCGGCGAGGGGAGUGAAAAAGAACCUGAAACCGUGUACGUACAAGCAGUGGGAGCACAGGUUUACCUNAAACCGUGUACGUACAAGCAGUGGGAGCCCCACCACCAAAGCAUUUGCUGUACCGCGUUGACGGAGCGAAGCGACGUCAAACCGAUAAAACAGCAGUGUAAAGUGAGCCGCAGGGCGCUUUGCGCGACAGCGCAAAGGCAGGCGGUUUCGCGUAGCGAAAGCGAAUGCUUUGGGGUGGGGUGACUGCGUACCUUUUGUAUAAUGGGUCAGCGACUUAUAUUCUGUAGCAAGGUUAACCGAAUAGGGGAGCCGGAGGGAAACCGAGUCUUAAUUGGGCGUUAAGUUGCAGGGUAUAGACCCGAAACCCGGUGAUCUAGCCAUGGGCAGGUUGAAGGUUGGGUAACACUAACUGGAGGACCGAACCGACUAAUGUUGAAAAAUUAGCGGAUGACCUGUGGCUGGGGGUGAAAGGCCAAUCAAACCGGGAGAUAGCUGGUUCUCCCCGAAAGCUAUUUAGGUAGCGCCUCGUGAAUUCAUCUCCGGGGGUAGAGCACUGUUUCGGCUAGGGGGCCAUCCCGGCUUACCAACCCGAUGCAAACUGCGAAUACCGGAGAAUGUUAUCACGGGAGACACACGGCGGGUGCUAACGUCCGUCGUGAAGAGGGAAACAACCCAGACCGCCAGCUAAGGUCCCAAAGUCAUGGUUAAGUGGGAAACGAUGUGGGAAGGCCCAGACAGCCAGGAUGUUGGCUUAGAAGCAGCCAUCAUUUAAAGAAAGCGUAAUAGCUCACUGGUCGAGUCGGCCUGCGCGGAAGAUGUAACGGGGCUAAACCAUGCACCGAAGCUGCGGCAGCGACACUGUGUGUUGUUGGGUAGGGGAGCGUUCUGUAAGCCUGUGAAGGUGUGUCGUGAGGCANAACCAUGCACCGAAGCUGCGGCAGCGACGCUUAUGCGUUGUUGGGUAGGGGAGCGUUCUGUAAGCCUGCGAAGGUGGCCUGUGAGGGUUGCUGGAGGUAUCAGAAGUGCGAAUGCUGACAUAAGUAACGAUAAAGCGGGUGAAAAGCCCGCUCGCCGGAAGACCAAGGGUUCCUGUCCAACGUUAAUCGGGGCAGGGUGAGUCGACCCCUAAGGCGAGGCCGAAAGGCGUAGUCGAUGGGAAACGGGUUAAUAUUCCCGUACUUGGUGUUACUGCGAAGGGGGGACGGAGAAGGCUAUGUUGGCCGGGCGACGGUUGUCCCGGUUUAAGCGUGUAGGUGUGUGUUCCAGGUAAAUCCGGUUCACUUUAACACUGAGGCGUGACGACGAGGCACUACGGUGCUGAAGCAACAAAUGCCCUGCUUCCAGGAAAAGCCUCUAAGCAUCAGGUAACAUCAAAUCGUACCCCAAACCGACACAGGUGGUCAGGUAGAGAAUACCAAGGCGCUUGAGAGAACUCGGGUGAAGGAACUAGGCAAAAUGGUGCCGUAACUUCGGGAGAAGGCACGCUGACACGUAGGUGAAGUGAUUUACUCAUGGAGCUGAAGUCAGUCGAAGAUACCAGCUGGCUGCAACUGUUUAUUAAAAACACAGCACUGUGCAAACACGAAAGUGGACGUAUACGGUGUGACGCCUGCCCGGUGCCGGAAGGUUAAUUGAUGGGGUCAGCGCAAGCGAAGCUCCUGAUCGAAGCCCCGGUAAACGGCGGCCGUAACUAUAACGGUCCUAAGGUAGCGAAAUUCCUUGUCGGGUAAGUUCCGACCUGCACGAAUGGCGUAAUGAUGGCCAGGCUGUCUCCACCCGAGACUCAGUGAAAUUGAACUCGCUGUGAAGAUGCAGUGUACCCGCGGCAAGACGGAAAGACCCCGUGAACCUUUACUAUAGCUUGACACUGAACAUUGAGCCUUGAUGUGUAGGAUAGGUGGGAGGCUUUGAAGUGUGGACGCCAGUCUGCAUGGAGCCGACCUUGAAAUACCACCCUUUAAUGUUUGAUGUUCUAACGUGGACCCGUUACCCGGGUUGCGGACAGUGUCUGGUGGGUAGUUUGACUGGGGCGGUCUCCUCCUAAAGAGUAACGGAGGAGCACGAAGGUUGGCUAAUCCUGGUCGGACAUCAGGAGGUUAGUGCAAUGGCAUAAGCCAGCUUGACUGCGAGCGUGACGGCGCGAGCAGGUGCGAAAGCAGGUCAUAGUGAUCCGGUGGUUCUGAAUGGAAGGGCCAUCGCUCAACGGAUAAAAGGUACUCCGGGGAUAACAGGCUGAUACCGCCCAAGAGUUCAUAUCGACGGCGGUGUUUGGCACCUCGAUGUCGGCUCAUCACAUCCUGGGGCUGAAGUAGGUCCCAAGGGUAUGGCUGUUCGCCAUUUAAAGUGGUACGCGAGCUGGGUUUAGAACGUCGUGAGACAGUUCGGUCCCUAUCUGCCGUGGGCGCUGGAGAACUGAGGGGGGCUGCUCCUAGUACGAGAGGACCGGAGUGGACGCAUCACUGGUGUUCGGGUUGUCAUGCCAAUGGCACUGCCCGGUAGCUAAAUGCGGAAGAGAUAAGUGCUGAAAGCAUCUAAGCACGAAACUUGCCCCGAGAUGAGUUCUCCCUGAGACUUAGAGUCUCCUGAAGGAACGUUGAAGACGACGACGUUGAUAGGCCGGGUGUGUAAGCGCAGCGAUGCGUUGAGCUAACCGGUACUAAUGAACCGUGAGGCUUAACCUUACAACGCCGAAG
rnacentral:rRNA from 1 species